CGUAGUCGAUGGGAAACAGGUUAAUAUUCCUGUACUUGGUGUUACUGCGAAGGGGGGACGGAGAAGGCUAUGUUGGCCGGGCGACGGUUGUCCCGGUUUAAGCGUGUAGGCUGGUUUUCCAGGCAAAUCCGGAAAACCAAGGCUGAGGCGUGAUGACGAGGCACUACGGUGCUGAAGCGACAAAUGCCCUGCUUCCAGGAAAAGCCUCUAAGCAUCAGGUAACAUCAAAUCGUACCCCAAACCGACACAGGUGGUCAGGUAGAGAAUACCAAGGCGCUUGAGAGAACUCGGGUGAAGGAACUAGGCAAAAUGGUGCCGUAACUUCGGGAGAAGGCACGCUGAUAUGUAGGUGAAGCGACUUGCUCGUGGAGCUGAAAUCAGUCGAAGAUACCAGCUGGCUGCAACUGUUUAUUAAAAACACAGCACUGUGCAAACACGAAAGUGGACGUAUACGGUGUGACGCCUGCCCGGUGCCGGAAGGUUAAUUGAUGGGGUUAGCGGCAACGCGAAGCUCUUGAUCGAAGCCCCGGUAAACGGCGGCCGUAACUAUAACGGUCCUAAGGUAGCGAAAUUCCUUGUCGGGUAAGUUCCGACCUGCACGAAUGGCGUAAUGAUGGCCAGGCUGUCUCCACCCGAGACUCAGUGAAAUUGAACUCGCUGUGAAGAUGCAGUGUACCCGCGGCAAGACGGAAAGACCCCGUGAACCUUUACUAUAGCUUGACACUGAACAUUGAGCCUUGAUGUGUAGGAUAGGUGGGAGGCUUUGAAGUGUGGACGCCAGUCUGCAUGGAGCCGACCUUGAAAUACCACCCUUUAAUGUUUGAUGUUCUAACGUUGGCCCCUAAUCGGGGUUGCGGACAGUGUCUGGUGGGUAGUUUGACUGGGGCGGUCUCCUCCUAAAGAGUAACGGAGGAGCACGAAGGUUGGCUAAUCCUGGUCGGACAUCAGGAGGUUAGUGCAAUGGCAUAAGCCAGCUUGACUGCGAGCGUGACGGCGCGAGCAGGUGCGAAAGCAGGUCAUAGUGAUCCGGUGGUUCUGAAUGGAAGGGCCAUCGCUCAACGGAUAAAAGGUACUCCGGGGAUAACAGGCUGAUACCGCCCAAGAGUUCAUAUCGACGGCGGUGUUUGGCACCUCGAUGUCGGCUCAUCACAUCCUGGGGCUGAAGUAGGUCCCAAGGGUAUGGCUGUUCGCCAUUUAAAGUGGUACGCGAGCUGGGUUUAGAACGUCGUGAGACAGUUCGGUCCCUAUCUGCCGUGGGCGCUGGAGAACUGAGGGGGGCUGCUCCUAGUACG
rnacentral:rRNA from 1 species